UCUGCGUUCUCCCAUAAGAAGUAAUUCCUGCCCAGUGAACUCAUUUCAACGGCCGCGGUAUCCUAACCGUGCAAAGGUAGCAUAAUCACUUGCCCAUUAAUUGUGGGCUAGAAUGAAAGGACCAACGAAAUAAAAACUGUCUCUAUAAGUAACAUAAAAAUUAAUCUCUAACUGAAGAUUGUUAGAUAGCAUCGAAGGACAAGAAGACCCUAUAGAGCUUUAUUUUUACAAAUAACUAAAAUUUAUAUAAAAUUCGGUUGGGGCGACCGGGGAAAUUGGCUAUCAUCCCCUAAUAACAGAUAAAUAAAUCACAUACUUGACCCUUUCUAAAGAUCAUUAAAACAAGCUACCUUAGGGAUAACAGGCUAAUCCCGCUAAAGAGUCCUUAUCAAUAGCAGGGUUUGGCACCUCGAUGUUGGCUUAGGGAAUCUAUAUGGCGCAAAAGUCAUAUAAAGAUGGUUUGUUCAACCAAUAAUACCCUACAUGAGCUGAGUUCAGACCGGCGUAAGCCAGGUUAGUUUCUAUCCUCGAUUAAAAUAUCUAUUUAUAGUACGAAAGGACCUAAAUAUGAAUAAUAAUUAUAUCUCAAGAAUAAAUAUAAAAUUUAUGCCAAAUAAAUAUAUACCUAUACUAGG
rnacentral:rRNA from 1 species